rnacentral:misc_RNA from 1 species
GAUGAAGAACGCAGCGAAAUGCGAUAAGUAAUGCGAAUUGCAGAAUUCCAGUGAGUCAUCGAAUCUUUGAACGCACAUUGCGCCCUGUGGUAUUCCGCAGGGCAUGCCUGUUCGAGCGUCAUUUCAACCCUCAAGCCUCGCUUGGUGUUGGGCCCUGCCCGCCGCGGCCGGCCCUAAAGAUAGUGGCGGCGCCGCCUGGCCCUCAGCGUAGUACAGCUCUCGCUCCAGGGUCCGGCGGUAGCCUGCCAGAACCCCCCAACUCUGUGGUUGACCUCGGAUCAGGUAGGGAUACCCGCUGAACUUAAGCAUAUCAAUAAGCGGAGGA